rnacentral:rRNA from 1 species
UAGGGAAUCUUCGGCAAUGGACGAAAGUCUGACCGAGCAACGCCGCGUGAGUGAAGAAGGUUUUCGGAUGGUAAAACUCUGUUGUUAGAGAAGAACAAGGACGUUAGUAACUGAACGUCCCCUGACGGUAUCUAACCAGAAAGCCACGGCUAACUACGUGCCAGCAGCCGCGGUAAUACGUAGGUGGCAAGCGUUGUCCGGAUUUAUUGGGCGUAAAGCGAGCGCAGGCGGUUUCUUAAGUCUGAUGUGAAAGCCCCCGGCUCAACCGGGGAGGGUCAUUGGAAACUGGGAGACUUGAGUGCAGAAGAGGAGAGUGGAAUUCCAUGUGUAGCGGUGAAAUGCGUAGAUAUAUGGAGGAACACCAGUGGCGAAGGCGGCUCUCUGGUCUGUAACUGACGCUGAGGCUCGAAAGCGUGGGGAGCAAACAGG